rnacentral:rRNA from 1 species
UCAGGAUGAACGCUGGCGGCGUGCCUAAUACAUGCAAGUCGAACGAACUUCCGUUAAUUGAUUAUGACGUACUUGUACUGAUUGAGAUUUUAACACGAAGUGAGUGGCGAACGGGUGAGUAACACGUGGGUAACCUGCCCAGAAGUAGGGGAUAACACCUGGAAACAGAUGCUAAUACCGUAUAACAGAGAAAACCGCAUGGUUUUCUUUUAAAAGAUGGCUCUGCUAUCACUUCUGGAUGGACCCGCGGCGUAUUAGCUAGUUGGUGAGGUAAAGGCUCACCAAGGCAGUGAUACGUAGCCGACCUGAGAGGGUAAUCGGCCACAUUGGGACUGAGACACGGCCCAGACUCCUACGGGAGGCAGCAGUAGGGAAUCUUCCACAAUGGACGCAAGUCUGAUGGAGCAACGCCGCGUGAGUGAAGAAGGGUUUCGGCUCGUAAAGCUCUGUUGUUAAAGAAGAACGUGGGUAAGAGUAACUGUUUACCCAGUGACGGUAUUUAACCAGAAAGCCACGGCUAACUACGUGCCAGCAGCCGCGGUAAUACGUAGGUGGCAAGCGUUAUCCGGAUUUAUUGGGCGUAAAGCGAGCGCAGGCGGUCUUUUAAGUCUAAUGUGAAAGCCUUCGGCUCAACCGAAGAAGUGCAUUGGAAACUGGGAGACUUGAGUGCAGAAGAGGACAGUGGAACUCCAUGUGUAGCGGUGAAAUGCGUAGAUAUAUGGAAGAACACCAGUGGCGAAGGCGGCUGUCUGGUCUGCAACUGACGCUGAGCUCGAA